AUGCUUUUCCUCCCGGUGGUUGAGCAACUAGAGACAUGGAAACAGACAGCGGCCCGAAAAUGGGACCUUUGUCUCUUUCCUGUUCAAGCCACAGAAGGGCAGCCGGGACCAGCAAGCCCUUCCUCCGCCACCCACCGCAGCCCAGGCGCCUGGGUACCAUCGGAGUUCCAGCAUGAACAAGGUCCAGAAGGGGAGCCGACGUGAAGGUCAUGCCCUUCCAACUGCACGCCUGCCCUGCGCUUCCCUCGAGGACCCCAGCACCUGCCCACUGCCCGCCUCCCAGACCGUCCCCUCUACUGGUCUGCUGCAGCCCUGAUGCUGGGUUAUGGGCUCCGGGACCUUGUCCACCCAGUACAGUCUGACCCAUCCUGGGAGGAGCCCUGCCCAAGUGCUCUGUCCAACUGCAGUGUCUGCACCUGAAACGAGGCACUAGCUGUUCAUUUCCUCAAGCAGGAAAUACACAGUUUUUUUGAAGGACAGUUGAUCUACAACAUUAGAUUAGUUUCAAGUGUAGAGCAGUCAUUCAGUAUUUUUACAGAUUAUUCUCUGUUCAAAGUUAUUGUAAGAUAAUGACUAUAAUUCUCUGUACUAUGUAAUGUCCUUGUUGCUUUUUUAUUUUAUACAUAGUAGUUUGUACCUCUUAAUCCCCUACCCCUAUUUUGCCCCUCUCCACUUUCCUUUCCCCAACUGGAGACCACUAGUGUGCUUUCUGUAUCUGAGUCUGCUUCUGUUCUGCUAUAUACAUUUGUUUGUAUGAUUUUUCAGAUUCCACAUAUACGUGAUAUCAUACAGUAUUUGUCUUUCUCUGACUUACUUCCCUACACAUAAUAUUCUCUAGAUCCAUCAGUGUUGCUGCAACUGGCAGAAUUUCAUUCUUUUUAUGACUAAUAUUCCAUGUGUAUAUAUACCACAUCUUCAUUUUCCAUGCAUCUGUUUCAGGCACACAUCAUUGUGAUUCGAUACAUUACAAAAUGAUCAACAUGAUAAGUCUAGUUGCCAUCUGUCACCACGUUAUUAUAAUAGUACUGACUAUAUUCCCUAUGUUGUACAUUACACGUCAGCAACGUAUUUUUUAUUAUUAAAAUUUUUAAUUUAUUUAUUUUUGGCUGUGCUGGGUCUUUGCUGUGUGGGCUUUCUCUAGUUGCAGCAAGCGGAGGCUAUUCUCUAGUUGCGGUGCUCAGGCGUCUCACUGCGGUGGCUUCUC
rnacentral:lncRNA from 1 species